rnacentral:rRNA from 1 species
GAGGAUGGUCAGCCACACUGGGACUGAGACACUGCCCAGACUCCUACGGGAGGCUGCAGUCGAGAAUAUUUAGCAAUGGGCGAAAGCCUGACUAUGCGACGCCGCGUGAAGGAUGAAGGUUUUCGGAUCGUAAACUUCUUUUGUUAGGAGAGAAUAUUUCGUCAUAAAUAGUGGCGGAACUGACGGUACCUAGCGAAUAAGCCACGGCCAACUCCGUGCCAGCAGCCGCGGUAAUACGGAGGUGGCGAGCGUUACUCGGAUUCAUUGGGUGUAAAGGGCAAGUAGGCGGUCUAAUGGGUGAGGGGUGAAAUCUUCCGACUCAAUCGGAAAACUGCCUUUCAAACUAUUAGACUUGAGGAUGGAAGAGGAAAAUGGAAUUCUCAGUGUAAGGGUGAAAUCUGUAGAUAUUGAGAAGAACACCAGCGGCGAAGGCGAUUUUCUGGUCCAUUCCUGACGCUGAAUUGCGAAAGCUAGGGGAGCAAACAGAAUUAGAUACUCUGGUAGUCCUAGCUGUAAACGAUGAGCACUAGGUGUUGGCCUUUCGGGGUCGGUGCCGCAGCUAACGCAUUAAGUGCUCCACCUGGGGACUACGGCCGCAAGGUUAAAACUCAAAGGAAUUGACGGGGACCCGCACAAGCGGUGGAACAUGUGGUUCAAUUCGAUGCUACGCGAAGAACCUCACCAGGGCUUGACAUGUAGAAAGUAGAGAUCUGAAAGGUGAUCGACCUGUCAAGUCAGGAAUCUACACAGGUGCUGCAUGGCUGUCGUCAGCUCGUGUCGUGAGAUGUUGGGUUAAGUCCCGCAACGAGCGCAACCAUUAUCUCUUGUUGCCACCUUUUUGUGUCUUCGGAUACAAAAAGAGCACUCUAGAGAGACUGCCUGGGUUAACCAGGAGGAAGGCGGAGAUGACGUCAAGUCAGUACGGCCUUUAUGCCCUGGGCUACACACGUGUUACAAUGGUCGGUACAAAGAGUUGCCAGUCCGUAAGGAGGAGCUAAUCUCAAAAAACCGAUCUCAGUUCGGAUUGAAGUCUGAAAUUCGACUUCAUGAAGUUGGAAUCGCUAGUAAUGGCAGAUCAGCACGCUGCCGUGAAUACGUUCCCGGGUCUUGUACACACCGCCCGUCAAGCGAUGGAAGUUAGUGGUACCCGAAGUCCUAUGUAGAUAGGCCGAAGGUAAAACUAAUGACUGGCGCUAAGUCGUAACAAGGUA